rnacentral:sRNA from 2 species
CUCCAUAACUCAGGAGUCCUACAUGAAGAAUAGGACUCUCCCUGGUUCGCCAGGCUCCCCUGAGAAAAAAUCUCCUGAUUCAUCAGGACCAUCUUCAGAGAACGGUGGGCCAGGCUCCGACGGAUCGUCUCCGUUAUACCAAAAGCCAUUGCCACCCCCGCCUCCGAAACAAUCGACGACGCGACUCAAGCCACAUGUCGUAUCACCAACCGCUUCCGAAUUUCUUCUGGUUACGGGCACUGAGCCGUCGGAGCCUGGUGUGGGUAUGUUUGUUAAUGUCGAGGGGGAUGUGGUUCGGGGGACUCUUGAGUUUCGCAAAUACCCAAUGGCCAUUGUAGUCGAUGACGACAGUAACGAGGGAAACCAUCCGCGUACGAGUGACGAAAAUCAGAAUGGGUAUGUCUUGGCAGUUAUCAGCGCUGACGACGACGAGGACAGCCGAACAUAUCUUGAGGUGCAGAGGUGGAAUGCAGUUCCAGGGGAACGUAGGUUACAAAAGGCAUCGGUAGAAAUACCCUCAGCCAGCCCAUCUCCCGGCGCGGUUGGAAUUAAGCGUUCUGUCGGUGCCAGCCGUGCCUCCUUUUCAGAAAUCGUCGAGGUGAUGCGGAUGGUUCGAUUAAAGCUGUCCAGCGUAAUUUCGCCAACGAUUCCUUCAACACCCUUAGAGAAUAGCGACCCGAGAACCCGGGCCUCCCUCGAACAUCUACAAAAGGAAAGGGAGCUAUUUGAUAACCAGGACACCGACUCUGAGGGCCCAAAGCAUCCUUCUUCAUCGAGUGUUAACCGUGACUGGGAAGUUCAAAGGAACCAAGAAGAAGCCAAGUUUGCCCGUGGGCUCGCAACUGCCAACAGCAGUAUACUUCUCUGGGAAGGAAACAAAAUUUGGAGGGUUCUACGGAAUCCGCUGGCGCUGCAAUUGGAGAAUUCUCUCGAAUUGGCUAAGCAAACAAGUAGCACCGACGGGAAUGAGCCUGCUAUUGAUAGAGAAGCCAUUGUAGGUCUUAUCCAAGGACUUCAAGAUAUGGAACCCAAAACAGAAACAGAAUACAUCGGUUUGCGUUACGUCCGACAGAAGGCAAGUUUGCUUCUCUUUGUUGAUCUACUCUCCGCAAACGCUGCGUCUCGGGUCGAGUCGACGAUAAAAUCAACGGAAGAUGCGCUCGUCGCCGGGGAGCUCGACCCACGAGUGGUUCUUCUUUUAAUACCUCUACUUAAAGAUGAAGUACUUCAAGGCCCGCAAGGGAUCUGGGUAUACAAUGGCCUAGUCAAGGCGAUAUCAUCGCGUUUCAGUCCACCAGAUGUAGAAACAGAACAUAAACUACCGAAUUUUCGCAUCGAUGACGAUAUUCUUCACAUGAUUAGGCGUUACCUACUUGGUUGGCAGAAGAAACGAGGCUAUGGUAGUGUGACAGAUGAGACGUAUGUGUUUAAUAGUGUCGACGCUGCGUUGCUACAUUUACUGCUUUAUCUAGAUGCGAAACAUAUUCACGAAAGAAAUGCGCCACUUGGAGGUUCUCUGCGGUCAGAGCUGAACAAGCUUGUUGACAACUGGAAGGGUAACUUUGAUAGAGCUGUGCAUCUACUCGAAAGUUACAAUAGGCUUUUUGUGCUUAGCAGAUUGUAUCAGAGCCAGAAAAUGGCCAAGCAUGUUCUAGCAACCUGGCGAAGGAUAGUCGAGGGAGAAAAGGACGAAGGAGGGGAGCUAUCGGGGCCAGCAGCUGAUAUUCAGAUUCGAAAAUAUCUGGUAAAAAUCCGAGAUGCUCAUUUGGUUGAGGAGUAUGGUCCCUGGCUUGCUGCGCGCAACCCCAAACUUGGAAUCCAAGUCUUUGCGGAUGAGAGCAGCAGAGUGAAAUUCAGUCCACCGCAGGUAAUUUCACUGCUGCAAAAGCAUGCUCCAGGGGCUGUCCAAGAGUAUCUAGAGCACCUUGUUUUCACAAAAAAGGAUACCCAAUACGCCGAUGACCUUAUAGCCUACUAUCUCGACACAGUCCUCUCAAUCCUCGAAUCCUCCCCUGAAGCCCGCGCCUCGUUGACAGAAUCCUACUCAACCUACCGCGCGCUACAAGCCCCAAAACCUUCUUAUCUGAGCUUCAUCACUCACAACCACCCCCCAGAACCGUGGUGGCAAUCCCGCCUCCGCCUCCUCCAACUACUAGGAGGCGGCUCAACAACCCAAUUUACCUCCACAUCCCCUCCAACCAACCUUUCUUACUCCAUCUCCGCAGUGCUCGCUCGAAUCGAACCGUUCAAAAACGAGCUCGUCUCUGAAAACAUAAUCCUCGACGGCCGCCAAGGCCGCCACCGCGAGGCCCUCCGCCUCCUUACCCACGGCCUCAGCGACUACGACACCGCAAUUCGCUAUUGUGCGUACGGCGGACCAACCUGGUCCGCGCCACCAACGACAACAACAAGCGACACGGCCACAGCCGCGAGACAAGCUGAACUCUUCACCUACCUCCUCACAGAGUUCCUGCAGAUUGCAGACCCCGUCUGCCGCGCCGAGCGCACUAGCGAUCUGCUCGCGCGCUUCGCGUCGGUGUAUGAUAUUGCGGAUGUGCUCCGGUUGGUUCCAGACGAGUGGAGCGUGGAUAUCCUGAGCGAGUAUCUGGUGCGUGUUUUGCGGGGAGUCGUGAGUAGCGUGCGGGAGGCGAAGGUGCAACGGGCGCUUAGUGCGGGAUUGUAUUUGAGAGUUGACGCGGGAUUUGGGGAGAAACUGGAA